UACGUAGGGGGCAAGCGUUGUCCGGAAUCAUUGGGCGUAAAGAGCGUGUAGGCGGCUCGAUAAGUCGGCUGUGAAAGUCCAGGGCUCAACCCUGGAAAGCCGGCCGAUACUGUCGGACUAGAGUCCGGAAGAGGCAAGUGGAAUUCCCGGUGUAGCGGUGAAAUGCGCAGAUAUCAGGAGGAACACCGAUGGCGAAGGCAGGUCUCUGGGCCAUAACUGACGCUGAGAAGCGAAAGCAUGGGGAGCGAACAGG
rnacentral:rRNA from 1 species